rnacentral:rRNA from 1 species
GUGCACCAGGCGCGAAACCUCCGCAAUGCACGCAAGUGCGACGGGGGAACCCCAAGUGCCACUCUUAACGGGGUGGCUUUUCAGAAGUGUAAAAAGCUUCUGGAAUAAGGGCUGGGCAAGACCGGUGCCAGCCGCCGCGGUAACACCGGCAGCUCAAGUGGUAGCCGCUUUUAUUGGGCCUAAAGCGUCCGUAGCCGGUCUGAUAAGUCUCUGGUGAAAUCCCACAGCUUAACUGUGGGAAUUGCUGGAGAUACUAUCAUGACUCGAGGUCGGGAGAGGCUGGAGGUACUCCCAGGGUAGGGGUGAAAUCCUGUAAUCCUGGGAGGACCACCUGUGGCGAAGGCGUCCAGCUGGAACGAACCUGACGGUGAGGGACGAAAGCCAGGGGCGCGAACCGGAUUAGAUACCCCCGUAGUCC